AGCGGCGAACGGGUGAGUAACACGUGGGUGAUCUGCCCUGUACUUCGGGAUAAGCCUGGGAAACUGGGUCUAAUACCGGAUAUGACCUUACAUCGCAUGGUGUUUGGUGGAAAGAUUUAUCGGUACAGGAUGGGCCCGCGGCCUAUCAGCUUGUUGGUGGGGUAAUGGCCUACCAAGGCGACGACGGGUAGCCGGCCUGAGAGGGCGACCGGCCACACUGGGACUGAGACACGGCCCAGACUCCUACGGGAGGCAGCAGUGGGGAAUAUUGCACAAUGGGCGAAAGCCUGGUGCAGCGACGCCGCGUGAGGGAUGACGGCCUUCGGGUUGUAAACCUCUUUCGACAGGGACGAAGCGCAAGUGACGGUACCUGUAGAAGAAGCACCGGCCAACUACGUGCCAGCAGCCGCGGUAAUACGUAGGGUGCGAGCGUUGUCCGGAAUUACUGGGCGUAAAGAGCUUGUAGGCGGUUUGUCGCGUCGUCCGUGAAAACUUGGGGCUCAACCCCAAGCUUGCGGGCGAUACGGGCAGACUUGAGUACUGCAGGGGAGACUGGAAUUCCUGGUGUAGCGGUGAAAUGCGCAGAUAUCAGGAGGAACACCGGUGGCGAAGGCGGGUCUCUGGGCAGUAACUGACGCUGAGAAGCGAAAGCGUGGGUAGCGAACAGGAUUAGAUACCCUGAUAGUCCACGCCGUGAACGGUGGGCGCUAGGUGUGGGUUUCCUUCCACGGGAUCCGUGCCGUAGCUAACGCAUUAAGCGCCCCGCCUGGGGAGUACGGCCGCAAGGCUAAAACUCAAAGGAAUUGACGGGGGCCCGCACAAGCGGCGGAGCAUGUGGAUUAAUUCGAUGCAACGCGAAGAACCUUACCUGGGUUUGACAUACACCGGAAACCUGCAGAGAUGUAGGCCCCCUUGUGGUCGGUGUACAGGUGGUGCAUGGCUGUCGUCAGCUCGUGUCGCGAGAUGUUGGGUUAAGUCCCGCAACGAGCGCAACCCUUGUCCUGUGUUGCCAGCGCGUUAUGGCGGGGACUCGCAGGAGACUGCCGGGGUCAACUCGGAGGAAGGUGGGGACGACGUCAAGUCAUCAUGCCCCUUAUGUCCAGGGCUUCACACAUGCUACAAUGGCCGGUACAGAGGGCUGCGAUACCGUGAGGUGGAGCGAAUCCCUUAAAGUCGGUCUCAGUUCGGAUCGGGGUCUGCAACUCGACCCCGUGAAGUUGGAGUCGCUAGUAAUCGCAGAUCAGCAACGCUGCGGUGAAUACGUUCCCGGGCCUUGUACACACCGCCCGUCGCGUCAUGAAAGUCGGUAACACCCGAAGCCGGUG
rnacentral:rRNA from 1 species